GGGUUGUGAGGUUAAGCGACUAAGCGUACACGGUGGAUGCCCUGGCAGUCAGAGGCGAUGAAGGGCGUGCUAAUCUGCGAUAAGCGCCGGUAAGGUGAUAUGAACCGUUAUAACCGGCGAUACCCGAAUGGGGAAACCCAGUGUGAUUCGUCACACUAUCAUUAACUGAAUCCAUAGGUUAAUGAGGCGAACCGGGGGAACUGAAACAUCUAAGUACCCCGAGGAAAAGAAAUCAACCGAGAUUCCCCCAGUAGCGGCGAGCGAACGGGGAGGAGCCCAGAGCCUGAAUCAGCAUGUGUGUUAGUGGAAGCGUCUGGAAAGGUGCGCGAUACAGGGUGACAGCCCCGUACACAAAAGCGCAUGUGCUGUGAGCUCGAUGAGUAGGGCGGGACACGUGGUAUCCUGUCUGAAUAUGGGGGGACCAUCCUCCAAGGCUAAAUACUCCUGACUGACCGAUAGUGAACCAGUACCGUGAGGGAAAGGCGAAAAGAACCCCGGCGAGGGGAGUGAAAAAGAACCUGAAACCGUGUACGUACAAGCAGUGGGAGCACCCUUCGGGGUGUGACUGCGUACCUUUUGUAUAAUGGGUCAGCGACUUAUAUUCUGUAGCAAGGUUAACCGUAUAGGGGAGCCGGAGGGAAACCGAGUCUUAAUUGGGCGUUAAGUUGCAGGGUAUAGACCCGAAACCCGGUGAUCUAGCCAUGGGCAGGUUGAAGGUUGGGUAACACUAACUGGAGGACCGAA
rnacentral:rRNA from 1 species